rnacentral:tRNA from 1 species
UUGGGUGUGGCUCAGUGGUAGAGCACUUGCCUUGCAUUCAGGUGGCCCUGGGGUCCAUCCCCAGCACUCUAC